CAUACGAACUCCGUUUUCGAUGGUCUUUAUAUCCUCGCGUAGGUGAGACUACGCUCUACAACUUUCGUUUAGACUCCGUCGGCAAAUUCCAAAAUUAUAUUUUUAUUAUUUAUUAAAAACCCAUCGUGUUUAAGGAAUUUCUUUGAAAAUUCAUAACUUCUUUAUCUGAUGUCGGUUUUUGCCAGACUUUUUACCGCUGGAAUACCAUUGUCGAGACCUUCGAUUCUCGUUUAGGUCAUUCCGGCCAAAAGUCGCUCGAUCUCCGAUUCGAGUUUUUAGCUGUCUGUUGCUAAGCCGAACUUGGAAAAAUCAUAACUUCGCUAUAUGAAGUCGGAUUUGGGCGUUCUUUUCACGUACGAUCAUGGUUCAAAGACAUUUAAUCAUAGAAGGAAAUUAAGUAGAACUUAUUUAUACAUUUUAUUAUGAAAGUAACUUUUUAUUAUUCAGAAGUGGUUACAAUACUUGACCCAUUUUGGUCGUUACAAAGAGUUGAAAUAUCGGGUUGUCACAUCAUCCCCCCGUUAGAGAGAAUUUCGUCCCGAAAUUUAAAGUAGUAAAGAUACUAGUGAACAUGAAAGAGAUGAGGGUACUUUUGUUUCAUCUGAUCUUCGCGUUCCCAUGUGAAUUCGGGUCCCCGCUUGGCGUUCCAGCGAACCUUCACGAUGGGUAUGCGACUUUGUUUUGUUUGUUUGACCUCUCGGUCCAUGAUUUCUACUGGUUCUUCCACAAAGUUGAGGCUCUCGUUGAUCUCGAUCUCGUCGAGUGGAAUAACAAGAGUCUCGUCGGACAGACACUUUUUCAAGUUUGAGACGUGGAAGGUUGGAUGGAUGUUACUAAGUUCGCGCGGUAGGUUAAGCUUGUAAGCCACAGGGCCGAUUCUGGCAAGAAUCUCGAAAGGCCCUAUGUAUCUUGGAUUUAGUUUCCCACGCUUUCCAAAUCGUAUUAAACCCUUCCACGGUGAGACCUUUAAUAAGACGUGGUCUCCUACCUGGAAUUCCAAAGGUUUCCUCCUUUGGUCAGCGUAGCUUUUCUGUCGGUCUCUUGAGGCUUUCAAUCGUUCACGAAUCUGAACGAUCUUCUCUGUUGUUUCACGUAUGAUCUCCGGACCGGUGAGAGUGCUUUCAGGAACUCUUCCUCUAGCUAACUGGGUAUCGCCAACUUCAGUCCAGCACAGAGGGGAUCUGCACUUUCGACCAUAGAGGGCUUCAAACGGAGCAGCCUUUAUGCUUGUAUGAUAACUAUUGUUGUAUGAAAAUUCGACAAGGGGUAAAUGAAUAUCCCAUGCCUUUCCAAAGUCAAUCACGCAGGCUCUCAGCAUGUCUUCUAAAGUUUGUAUUGUUCUCUCACUUUGUCCGUCUGUCUGUGGGUGGUAGGCUGUACUCAUGUCUAGCCUAGUUCCCAGGGAACUUUGUAGUGACUGCCAGAAUCUUGAAGUGAAUCUACUAUCUCGAUCGGAGAUAAUGGAUAUCGGAACACCAUGCAGUCGCACUACUUCCCUUAAGUAAGUUCUUGUAAGCUUCUCCAUUUUGUCAGUCUCCUUGAUGGGUAGGAAAUGUGCGGAUUUGGUCAAUCUGUCGACAAUGACCCAUAUGGUAUCGAGUCCACUUGUCGUCUUGGGUAACUUGGUUAUGAAGUCCAUAGUAAUCCGCUCCCAUUUCCAUUCCGGUAUCUCUGGUUGUUGUAGUAGUCCUGACGGUUUCUGAUACUCGACCUUAACCUUAGCGCAAGUAAGACAUUUACUCACGAAGGUAGCAAUUUCUGCUUUCAUGUUAGGCCACCAGUACAGUUUCUUAAGAUCCAGAUACAUUUUAUCUGAACCCGGGUGAACGGAAUAUCUUGAGUUGUGAGCCUCGGUCAUGACUACGUUUCUGAAACCACCAUGAUUUGGGGUCCAGAUUCGGUCCAUGAGAUAGUAGGCUCCGCCACCCUUGACUUCUAAAUUCUUCUCCAUUCCUCGCAGGGAUUCACCCGCCACAUUUUCAGGUUGCAAAGCUUCCAUUUGUGCUUCCUUAAUUUGUGUGGAUAAGUGGGAAUGGAUAGUCAUGGUCAGAGAUUUGACCCUCCGACCAGUGUAUUCCUUUCGACUGAGGGCGUCGGCUACUACGUUGGCCUUGCCAGGAUGAUAACGAAUUUCGCAUUCGUAGUCAUUCAGUAACUCAACCCAUCGUCGUUGUCGCAUGUUGAGUUCCUUCUGAUCGAAAAUGUGUUGAAGGCUCUUGUGAUCGGUGAAUAUAGUACUCUUUGUUCCGUAUAAGUAGUGCCUCCAGAUCUUCAGAGCAAAUACCACUGCUCCUAACUCGAGGUCGUGUGUCGUAUAGUUCACUUCGUGUGUCUUAAGCUGUCGGGAGGCAUAAGCGAUAACCUUCCCUCUCUGCAUAAGAACACAACCAAGUCCUUGAUUUGAAGCAUCGCAAUACACUACGAAGUCUUCUAUCCCUUCGGGGAGGGAUAGUAUCGGUGCGGUGCACAAGGCCUGCUUUAGUGUCUGGAAUGCCUUCUCUUGUUUCGCUUCCCAGUCAAAGGCCACACCUUUCUGGGUUAAUGAAGUAAGAGGUUUCGCAAUGCUCGAAAAGUUCUUUAUGAAUCUGCGAUAGUAGCCAGCUAGACCUAGAAAUUGACGAAUUUCUGUAGGUGUCUUUGGUGCCGACCAGUUCUCAAUAGCCUUAAUUUUGGAGGGGUCCACGUGUAUACCUUUCUCGCUAACAACGUGACCUAAAAAUUCGACUCUUCGAAUCCAAAAUUCGCAUUUAGAGAACUUCGCAUAGAGUUUCUCCGUUCGCAGUGUUUCUAGGACUUUUCGUAGGUGUUGACUAUGCUCUUCCUCACUUCGAGAGUAGAUAAGUAUAUCAUCGAUAAAGACGAUGACGAACUGAUCCAAGUAAGGGCGGCAUACCCUAUUCAUUAGGUCCAUAAAUACUGCUGGUGCAUUGGUUAAUCCGAACGGCAUCACCACGAAUUCGUAGUGUCCAUAACGAGUUCGGAAGGCUGUCUUUGGAAUGUCCCCCUCUAGAACUCGUAAUUGGUGAUAUCCGGAUCGCAGGUCUAUUUUGGAGAAGUAGUUCGCCCCUUGAAGUUGAUCGAAUAGGUCGUCGAUACGGGGUAGAGGAUAGCGGUUCUUGACAGUAAGUUUGUUCAGCUCUCUGUAGUCGAUGCACAUACGGAACGAUCCGUCUUUCUUCUUUACAAACAAGACCGGUGCUCCCCAAGGUGAGAAACUUGGUCUUAUGAAUCCUUUGUGAAGGAGUUCAUUAAGUUGACUGGAAAGUUCCUGCAUCUCUGCUGGUGCAAGACGAUAAGGCGACUUCGCUACUGGGGUAGCUCCUGGAAUUAAGUCGAUUCUGAACUCGACUUGGCGUUGCGGUGGUAAUCCUGGUAGUUCUUCUGGAAAGAUAUCGGGAAAGUCGCGUACUACCGAGAUGCUCUUGAUGUCCUUCAGUUCUUGACUUGUAUCGACGAUGUGCGCUAGGAAUGCUCGACAAUCCUUCCGCAAGCACUUUCGAGCUUGGAUGCACGAAAUGAUGCGAAGGUUUGCACUAGAUUUGUCGCCGUAGAUAACUAAUGUUUCGUUGUUAGGGAGGUUAAGACGGACUGCUUUCUCAAAGCACAUGAUGUCGGCGCGAAGAAGACUCAACCAAUCCAUGCCGACUAUGACGUCGAAACUUUUAAUUUGAACCGGCAUGAGAUUGAUUGGGAAAGAAUGGCCGUCUAAUGUUAACGUACAGCCCAUGUAUAUGCAAUUUGUGUUUUCGGUUUUUCCAUUGGCCAUCUCUACAGUGAAUGAUUUUUCUAACUUGCUAGGUUUAGGUUUAAGUAAAUGAAUAAAGUUUUGACUCACGAAGCUUCUCUCCGCUCCACUAUCGAAUAAUAUGCAUGCGUAUGAAUUAUCGAGAAGGAACGUACCAGCAACUAUAGUUGGGUCAGCUACAGCUUCGUCGUGGCCUAUUGCCAAAACUCGUCCCACACCUCCGGUGCCUGCUGCCUUAGGACAGUUUCUCUUGUAGUGGCCCACCUCGCCACAACCGUAGCAAGCCUGCCCUACACCCGCACCGGGAACUUGAGUGAUCGGCUUUGCGGGUUCCUUGCAGAAACGGGCUGUGUGUCCUUUCCUGCUGCAGUUGGCGCACUGCAUAUCUCGACAAGGUCCAUGGUGGUGGUAAUUGCAUUUGGUGCAUUUUGGGAGGUUACCUAUAUAAGGCUUUGUUGGGUAGGUAUUUGUAGGGGCUGUAGCAGGUACAAUGGCAGCAUUUACUGACACCAGUUGUUUCUUUGCGGAUUCUUGGGAAGACCCACCCUUCCCUUUAAUCCACGCUCUCUUCCUGCCAUUGUUGUUGUUGUUGUUGUUGUUGUUGUUGUUGUUGUUUCCUUUCUGUGGUGCUGGUGCAGAAGUGGUUGAGUUCUGAUGACCUCCGUAGUCGAUCAGAGAUUGUGCCAGUUCCUUAGCACUUUCAAAGGUGUCAGGUUUAGAAGCUAACACGCUUGAUCGCAUUUGGGGCGUCAGUCCCCAGAUGUACCUUUCUAUCUUCUUGCUCUCGGGAGCAAUCAUAUCUGGACAAAGGAUUGCCAGUUCGCAGAAUCUGUUGGUAUAAGUAGCGAUGUCGGUACCCACCAUUCCGAGAGUCCAUAGCUCGUGUUCAAGCUUUUGAAUUUCUCCCCGUGGGCAGUAUUCUCUCAUCAUCAUGGCCUUCAAGCUCUCCCAGCUUAUGGAGUUUGCCACGAUUAGGGUAAGUACUUUAACGUGGCCAUUCCACCAAGUUAAAGCUUUAUCGAGAAGGGUGAAAGUUGCAAAUUUGACCUUGCUGUGCUCGGGGCAGGAGCAGAUUUCAAAGACUGCCUCCGUCCUUUCAAUCCACUGCCUCAGGGCCAUCACACCACCAGUACCAUAAAACAUCCGGGGCUUGGCAUUAGUGAAGUCCUUAUAGGUGCAUUCUCGAGGUGGUCCAUGACUCUCGCCAUGGUUGGAUAGGUGUGUGCCAGAUCCCGAGCCAUUAGUACUCGAGUUAUUGAUCUGUGACAUGGCAGCUGCCACCGCUGCGGUGACUGCUGCUUGAAACAUUACAACAUCAAAUUGGGGUGGUGGAGGUGGUGGUGGUAUAGGUGCUUCCUCACCGUUGUUUCGCCUUGGAUUCCUACGCGGAGGCAUCCUUCAACUAUAGAUUGAAAAGACAAGGAUAAGAAUUUCAUAGAAUGGAAAAUGUAUGUGUCUCAUGAACUAAAUCGCUAUAGUUCAACAACAGAUGAUAGUAUGAGUCUUAAAAUAGAAGAAUGAAAGUUAUUUGUAAGACUGAAGGUAUGAAACAAGUAUUUGGGUUCACAAAGACCAUUCAAGGUUCGAACGAAAUACUCAACAUAGUAGUAAUAGUGCCACUUAUAUUAAUAUAAAAGUUGUUACAACGAUCAUGAAAAUUUGACCCCUAUAAGGGUCUCCGAUUACAAAGUUCGAGAAAUUUAAAGACUUUUAGCCGAGGUCCUAAGCUAUAACAAAAUUUGAGUCCUUGACAAGCACUACUUGCGUCGAAGGUUGCGCUUGGAGCUUGACUCCGUAUCUGAUUGCUUUGACUCCAUUAGACGCCUAUCGAAAGCGGCUUGUUGUUCCCUUAGUUCGGCGAGGGCUGCAAUCAUUUGCGCUUGAAACGCUUCGGUUUGGAAUUGAGCGUUGUCUUGCAUCUUGUCCAGCCUACGGAUGUCAGAAGUGUGAACCUGCACUUCCACGUUGAUAUCCCGGAGUCGACUAGCUUGUACUCCAGACUGAUAGGACUGAUUGGCUAACUUACCCACCAUUACCGGGAGUGCUCGAUCAGCCGAACCUCCGCCGCGGACAUCAUAGAAGUCCCGGCACAUGCCGUAGGGAGGGCGUAGGUUUUGCUGUUGGCUCCAAUGGUGGAGGUGACUUCCCCAGACGGGAGUCGGUCCUUGAAAGUUCCUUACGAAGACGGGAGGUUGAAUGGGUGGUGGAUCGAUAACUUCCGGCUCUGAGUCGGUACCGGAGUCAUCACCCACUUCUAUGGGUUCCUCGUCCUCUUCGGGAUCAUCUUCGAUCCAUCCUCCGUUGCCUUGGUUGGGAAAGUAGGGGUCGCCAGGGUGGUGAAAUCCAGCCAUUUGACUGUACGAGAAAUAGGGUUAUAAGAAUUGAAUAAAGUCGGAACAUGUAAAACAUGUAAGUUAAACUAGUUUAGAUAGCAAAUACUCCUAUAGUAUUUAAAUUCUUGUGUUUGAUUCUUGUAAUGGUUUGGUAAGUUUUGACUUGUUGCUUACUACGAUCAUUCCUCGAUAUACGUUGGUCCAAUCUUGGGCAAAUAUAGUUGAUCACGCUAUAUUUGUCCAAAAUCUGAUUACAUAUAUCGAGUCUCAAUCGUAGUGUCAACUUGUCUAAAUACUUGUAUAGUUGUAUAACAUGAAAAUAGUUUGUGGUAUGCAUGUAAUUGUACUUAAAUGAACUAUCAAUUUAAGUUGAACGAAAUGCUGCUUAAGUGUAAAAAGAAAAUUUGUUUUGUCAGAGAGUAUUAGUCCCUUAAGCAUUUAUAGUUUGUAUAUCUUAUGUGGUUCGAUAUACUUAGUUCACUAUAAACAUUGCUCUGAUACCAAUCUGUCACACCCCCAAACCUGAACGGCGGAAACGUUCGGGGGCGGAUGACUUCAUGUGGUAACGUAACAAAUGAAUACAUAGUAAAGAAAGCAAUACAACCAUCAUAUAUAUAAUUGAAAGUUUACAUUUGUCAAAAGUUACAUGUUCAAAACCCAAUUACAAUAUGAUGUCAAAAUACGAGAUUAAACUGGCGCCGCAGCAUCCCUUCAUCAAAAGCGAAAUGAAUACCUGAAAUUACUGAUUUCCUGGGACAUACAAGUAAUUUUGAAAGAGUAGAUCAGCAUUUAAGCUGGUGAAUUUCAUAAGUAUUUAAGUGACAAUGUUUGAAUGAAAUGAAAUGUUUUAUCUUUGUUUGUUUGUGUUUAGAAAAUCCUAUAUUUUCUACUAGUAUAAAAGUAGCCUUCACUCAAGACCAAUGUUUGUUUCCAAAAUGUAUGUAAGUGUAAAAUAACCAAUGAGUUUGAAAACCUUGUAAAUCAAUGCAUUUUUAAUACCCCUUGUGAGUUUUAUAACCAUACUAUUGACUCGGAAUGCCUAUACACAACGUUCUUCAGGCGUUGGAAUGUUAUGACGUUUGUCACCCCAAACGGUGGACUGCAGCUAACAGUCAGGGCGCGGGUUGUCAAGCCCGUAUAGAUCUAUACACAAACACCAUGCUCCCCCUCCAAGGGAUUCUGGUAUAUAAUACAGGACUUGAAAUGUGUACUCGAACGUACAUGAAGUUAGUGUCUCACAAAACCGUGGUAUAAAAACAGAUCUACUUGUUAAAAUGUUACGUUUGUUCUUGUAUACGAAAGUAAACUUCUUGAAAUUCAUGUUUCUAGUACAUAAGAGUUAGAAAUUUGUUCGUAAAACUAUACCUAUUAUAGUUUUCUAAAAGUGUGUCUUGUUUGUUUAGAAAUACCUAGAAAAGGAAUCACUUGUUUAUGAAAGCAUAGAUUUUUGGUGUAGAGUCUAAGAUAGACAAGAAUAAUCUAAGAAAAGUUUAGUUUAUACAUGCAUUACAACAAUGUAUAUUUCAAAAGAUAGAAUGCUAUUUUAACAUAUUUUAUAUAUAUGAAAGUUCCUUAUAAAGUUUGUAAAUCGCAUGUGAUUUGGAUAUAUAAAAGCAUAUAAAAGAGUUUCUUUAUGUAACACACGAUAAUACUCGUGUGUUUUACUUGUAAUCCCCCCCUUGAAAGCAUAUAAAAGAAUUUAUAGAAUAUUUAAAAGGUAAAUUAAGGGGUAUGAACUCACUUGAAAGUUUGAAGAUAGCGAGAUGGAAAACCGGGCAGAGUUUCGUCUCGGGAAACGGAUUUUCCUCGGGAUUCUCGGGAAUCUCGGGAGUAAAAUCGACCCUCGGGACUUGAGCAAAAAGACCAGAGCUUCGGGUUUGAACGGGCACGGAAAACGAGGCAAGAUUGUGAGAGAGAGGAGAGAAAUGAGCCCUUUUCUCGGAAGCCCUCGCAUCCUAUUUAUAGGAAGGCUGAACUGCCUCGGUACGCGGGGCGUACGCUCGUACGCAGCGCGUACGCGUACGUCAUGCAUGACCGAAGCCUCGACUGCCUCGGCUUCGGAUGGGAUGGGUCGGUGGGGAGGCGGGUCGGAUGGGACGGCGGGUCGGAUGGGACAACGGGUCGGACGGGUCGGAUACUUCGGACGGGUCGGACGGGUCGGAUGCCUCGGAUAGGGCGACGUGGACGAUCAGAGGCCAAGUCUCUCGGGUACGCAGGGCGUACAGGGGUACGCAGCGCGUACCCGGAUGAGGACGCUGACUCCUCUUCGGAUAAGGUCCGAAAUUUUGAAUUAAAUAAAUAUAUAAUUUAUUUAAUAAACUUCAAAAAUUCAUAUCUUCUUCAUACGAACUCCGUUUUUGAUGGUCUUUAUAUCCGCGCGUAGGUGAGACUACGCUCUACAACUUUCGUUUAGACUCCGACGGCAAAUUCCGAAAUUAUUUUUUUAUUAUUUAUUUUAAACUCAUCGUGUUUAAGGAAUUUCUUUGAAAAUUCAUAACUUCUUUAUCUGAUGUCGGUUUUUGCCAGACUUUUUACCGCUGGAAUACCAUUGUCGAGACCUUCGAUUCUCGUUUAGGUCAUUCCGGCCAAAAGUCGCUCGAUCUCCGAUUCGAGUUUUUAGCUGUCUGUUGCUAAGCCGAACUUGGAAAAAUCAUAACUUCGCUAUAUGAAGUCGGAUUUGGGCGUUCUUUUCACGUACGAUCAUGGUUUAAAGACAUUUAAACAUAGAAGGAAAUUAAAUAGAACUAUUUGUACAUUUUAUUAUGAAAGUAAAUUUUUAUUACUCAAAAGUGGUUACAAUACUUGACCCUUUUUGGUCAUUAUAAAGAGUUGAAAUAUCGGGUUGUCACAGCCUGAAUCGAGCGAACCUCCAAGAGAUAGUUCUUAUGUUCAGGGGAGGGUUUUUCUUCUCCAAGUAACCAAGAUUCAUCUUUCCAGGGGGAGAAUCCAUUAUCAUCAACACCAACCGAAAGUCAUGUCCAGGGAGAGAAUUCUGACCCUGAAGCUAUCAUCGUUCGAGGGGGAGAAUGCAAAUUCAAACGAUGAUGAUGAUCAGUCAGAAUUCGAAGAAGUGAGUGCUGAAAUGAAUCCUACAUAUGAUCGUAAUUUCCCUCCACUCACCAAAUGGAC
rnacentral:lncRNA from 1 species